AGUAAUUCCUGUUGGGUUUUGUGGGCCCCCAGGGAACAACCGUAGGUGUCUGGGAGAGGGAGCUAGAGUUCUAGCUGAGCAGAUAGCAUGUCAAGGGUGUUCCGGCUUGUCUGUGAGCUGGGCUUGAUGUUUGAUGUAUUGUGCUCAUGUUUAAGAGCAGCCCUAGUUGUGCUCUCAAGGGGUGUUCCUACAUGCGAUCGAGACCUGUGUUGUGGUUCAGCUGUCGCCGUGCACGCAGGUGACUUGUUUGGUAUUGGUUUGGCAGAUGCCGAGGGAGGAGUCGUGCAGGGUGAUGGAGGACGGCGCUGUCAGCAGGAGCCGAGCGGGAUCUGGGCACCGGAGGGGAAUCGCACAGGGUGGUGGGCGAGCCUCAAGAUGGCAACGGGAUCUGAUGGAGGCCAGGCAGGUGAGCUGUCAAGAAAAAGGUGC